rnacentral:rRNA from 1 species
AACACAUGCAAGUCGAGGGGCAGCACAUGAGUAGCAAUACGAUGGUGGCGACCGGCGCACGGGUGAGUAACACGUAUGCAACCUACCUCUAACAGGGGGAUAACCCGUUGAAAGACGGACUAAUACCCCAUAAUACAGGGGCUCCGCAUGGAGAUAUUUGUUAAAGAUUUUAUCGGUUAGAGAUGGGCAUGCGUUCCAUUAGCUAGUUGGUGAGGUAACGGCUCACCAAGGCGACGAUGGAUAGGGGAACUGAGAGGUUUAUCCCCCACACUGGAACUGAGACACGGUCCAGACUCCUACGGGAGGCAGCAGUGAGGAAUAUUGGUCAAUGGAGGCAACUCUGAACCAGCCAAGUCGCGUGAAGGAUGAAGGUCUUAUGGAUUGUAAACUUCUUUUGCAGGGGAAUAAAUAGCGGUACGUGUACCGUUUUGCAUGUACCCUGCGAAUAAGGAUCGGCUAACUCCGUGCCAGCAGCCGCGGUAAUACGGAGGAUCCGAGCGUUAUCCGGAUUUAUUGGGUUUAAAGGGUGCGCAGGCGGGAGAUUAAGUCGGCGGCGAAAUUUUGCAGCUCAACUGUAAAAGUGCCUUCGAUACUGGUUUCCUUGAGUGUGGAUGAAGUAGGCGGAAUUUGUGGUGUAGCGGUGAAAUGCUUAGAUAUCACGAGGAACUCCGAUUGCGCAGGCAGCUUACUAAACCACUACUGACGCUCAGGCACGAAGGCGUGGGGAUCAAACAGGAUUAGAUACCCUGGUAGUCCACGCAGUA